rnacentral:rRNA from 1 species
UACCAGCUCUCCGAGUGGUGUGGAUGUUUAUUGGGCCUAAAGCAUCCGUAGCGUGGCUGGACAAGUCCCCUGUUAAAUCCACCGAUUUAAUCGUUGGUGUGCGGGGGAUACUGUUCGGCUAGGGGACGGGAGAGGCAGACGGUAUUUUCGGGGUAGGGGUGAAAUCCUAUAACCCCGGGAAGACCACCAGUGGCGAAGGCUGUCUGCUAGAACGCGCCCGACGGUGAGGGAUGAAAGCUGGGGGGAGCGAACCGGAUUAGAUACCCGGGUAGUCCUAGCUGUAAACGAUGCAGGCUAGGUGUUUGGACGGCACGUGCCGUUCUAGUGCCGCAGGGAAGCCGUUAAGCCUGCCGCCUGGGGAGUACGGCCGCAAGGCUGAAACUUAAAGGAAUUGGCGGGGGAGCACCACAAGGGGUGAAGCUUGCGGUUU